rnacentral:lncRNA from 1 species
UGUAGGACUCUCAGCUCCUCCAGCACCAUGCCUCCAUGCUCCCUGCCACAUUGAUAAUGGAGUGCUGUGUCUCUUAACAGCAAUGGAAGCUGAACUACAGCACAUAGUUACUCAAUUCCAGAUGUAUAUGGACUUUGAAUUACUUUACUUACCUCUCCUGAUUUAUAACCUGCCUUACCUGAUUUGUUGGCAUCAGUGUAGAAGACAAAUGGCUUUAAAGAGAUCAUCGUAGUUUGAAGUCAAUCCUAAUACUCAGAAGCCUGAAAGAGCAUCCAUAAAGAGAGAGAACUAAUACUCCUACUUCUACUAUAAGCACUGCAUCUGCUGAGCUAGACAGUGAACCACACACUGAUGUUCUAAUCAGAGCUGACAAGAAACUUGCAAAAAGAAAAAAAGAAUCAGAA